rnacentral:tRNA from 1 species
AGGGGCGUCGUCAAGUGGUAAGACACAGGUUUUUGGUGCCUGCAUUCGUAGGUUCGAGUCCUACCGCCCCUGCCA